GUGGAUAGGUCUGGCUGUGACAUCUGUCACCCUAUUGAUUGUUGAGAUCCAUCCUGAUCUGGCUGACAAGGUGGGUGCUUCUGCUCUUCCCUCUAUUAUGGGCAUCCUUGCAGAAACCCGGUGCUCACACAAUAUCUUUUCCAGAGAGCUGUUCUUCUGUCAAGGUGUGCGAGCAGUUUCUCUCUGUUAAUGAUAAUCUCCAAACAGACCAUCCAGGUCUACUUU
rnacentral:sRNA from 1 species